rnacentral:lncRNA from 1 species
AGAAUUGAAUAAUUAAUUCUCUAGAACUUAAUUUAAAAAUUGAGAAACAAAAAUAUUAGAAUCAUUCUAUAACUAAUAACAGUCAAUUAAGAAAUCAAUUAAGUAAAGAUCAUACAGAAAACCUCUUGCAGAUUAAGUAGGAGUAAGACACAUUGUAGAUUGGCCAUGGGAAAAACAUCCGCAAAACUUCAACAUAACAAAACCCAUAAAAAGCAUACCAAUCACCACCCCACCACCCAAACUCCCACAAACCCACCAAACAUUAACUGAUCUCUCGUUCUCCACGGGCGCCUUCUCUUCUAUCAAGCCUUCAACCACAAUAUUUUCCUGCUCCACCUCCCCAUCUGUAUUAUUCAAACACGACUCGUUGCACAAACACGUGGAAGCCGUCUCUUCAUGGACAUGCGGCGGCGUUUUGUACUCGUUCCAUUUACGAAAAGCAGUUUCAAGCUCUGACACUCUCUGACCAAUGUGCUGCAAGUGGUACUGUGGCUUCUCGGGGCUGGACACGAUUUCCGUUGAUAAGAGAGUUUUCAAGAAGUCGAGUUUUUGAUCAAAGUCUUGAGUGUAUUCUUCAUGGUAUGGAUUGUCACUGUCAAGAGGAAGAGAAAAGAGUCGAUUGAGAUAGGAUUCGAGUUCUUGAACUCUUUUUUGCAAGAUGGAGUAUCGCUCUGUUGCCAUAGUUGGUGCUGUGUGUUUGUCUACGUUGCUGUUAUUGUUGUGGCAUGGGGAGAAUGUGAGUGUAGGAAUCUGCAGUUAUUUGUUGAUGUGGCUUUUGGUGAGACGGUUGCUUUGGUUAUAUGUUGAGUUAUUGCUUAUAUAUGUGACGGUUGAGGCACCGGGCCUCCCCUUUAAGUCACCAUUUCAAUAUUAUUAAUGGAACACCAGAAUAAAGCUUGCGGAAACCCUUCUUGUAAAGGAGAUGAGAAGUUAAAUUGGGCCCACUGAAAUAAGCACAGUGUCAGCAAUCUCUAUUAAUUUGCAUUAAAAGCCCUUUGGAGCCCAACGGACUUGCGUAUACAAGCCCAAACCUAAUCUCAUCAAAUUAAGGCAUGUCUGUAGCAGAUUAGAGCAUGUUAAUUUACCACUGAUCAUGUUUAUUGAGAUUUUAAAUUUUAAAUACUCUCUUUCACAGAUUUGUGACCAUGUUAAUGUUCUUCUUGUGGAUUUGAGCUUGCAGGUAAUCUACUCUAAUUAAUGGCUUACUCUUUUCCUUGAUUGAAUUUGUCUGGUAGACAGGCAUUAUACUAUUAUUGAAUUGCUAACUAACACUGUUCCUUUCUGUCUUGGUCUCCUAGUGUUCUGUCAGGUGUAUACUAUUUUUGUCUCAAAAUAUAAAUUAUUUUGUGUAUUUCAAGA